UCAAUAGAGAUCUCUCAAUCCUAUCGUAGAUGUUUUCUGGUGAUUUCAGCUCAUCUGCACUUUUCCUGUAAUGUAGAGAUAUUGUAUGUCCAUAGCUGCCAGGUUAUAUGAAUUGUUUUCAUGAUAGACUGAACUGUUGAGUUUCCAUCAUUGAUUCACCUGUUCAUUAAUUUACCUCUUGUGAAGCUAGACGUUUCAUGCUUUUGGAAUAAAACUAAUUCAUAAUGAAGUCAUUUUAUUUAGUCCUUUCUCCAUACUAUUGCUUCGUCCAGUGAAAGGUUUUUGUAUUUUUCUGCAUGUGUUGUUUUAAUCAGCUAGAGGAAUCAUGAUGUUUGCCUGCGUCCCCAUGCCAACACUUCGAGCCAUGCUGUCCAAGAAUCUGCAUCCUCAGCAAUAUGGGCGAGUUUUUGGGCUGCUCCAGCUGGUUCUGGCUGUGACUGAUCUCUUGUCUAAUGUCUUUUUCACCUCGAUUUACCCACUUACUCUCGGCUGGUUCAGUGGCUUCUGCUUCCUUCUCUCCUGCGCCAUUAGUUACAUCAGUGCCGUCCCGAUCAUUUAUCGAAGUGGCAGAGACUUGAGACUUGGAUCCAUUUGUGAUGAUGAACACUUACAUUGAAAUGUGUCUGUUCUUAUUUUGAUUCAGUACUAUGGAGCUGCAAAAGAAUUGCAUUCCUUGCAUUGCCCAAAAAACCUUCAUGUUCUCUCACAAAAGUGUUGAAAUCCCAGGAGAAAUGUUUAAGCUCACAAAACUUUUGCAAGAGAAUAUGAAACUCUGGCAAAAGGACACAAAAAUUUUGCACGCAAAAGGAAAGUUUCUCAAGGUAACGCAAAAGAUUUGCACACAAAUGUAAAGCAUGUUUUUUUUUCUUCUCUGAUUAAUUUCUCUUUAAUGACUGUAUAUUUGUAUUAGACAUAUUCACAUAACUAUAUCUACUGUCAAAUUUCAGCUAACUUUGCAUGACAUAAAAUUUGAUUGCAAUAAUACAAAGUGCAAUACACAAUAAUAUAACAUCAAAGAACUGAUGAAAGAACUAAUGAAAGUAUGAUAUAAAAGUCUGUCUAGCUUUCUUGCAGGAGACAUAGUUUGGUAAAAUAUGUCUUGUUUAAAGUGGAAAUAGCUUUUGGUCUUAAUAUGAAAUUUUAUCAGCAUUUUAGGACUGGACACAUGAAGUGUCAAAUGUUUUCAGCAGCUCAGCAUUGGUUUCACCUGUUACAGUGAAUAGUCUUUGUUUCUGGUAUUUGUUA